rnacentral:rRNA from 1 species
UACGGAGGGGGCAAGCGUUAUUCGGAAUUAUUGGGCGUAAAGGGCGCGUAGGCGGCUUGACAAGUCAAAGGUGAAAUCCCUCGGCUCAACUGAGGAACUGCCUUUGAAACUGUCUGGCUAGAGGCCGGGAGGGGGUAGCGGAAUUCCCAGUGUAGCGGUGAAAUGCGUAGAUAUUGGGAGGAACACCAGUGGCGAAGGCGGCUACCUGGACCGGUUCUGACGCUGAUGCGCGAAAGCGUGGGUAGCAAACAGG